rnacentral:lncRNA from 1 species
UCAAAAAUAAUGUUCAAUACUUCAAUGUAUGAAUAAAAACUAUUGGUACAAUAAUAUUUCAAAAUAUAAUCCUUGAGUCUGAAAUAGGUGUCAUGACAUGACAUUGCUUUAUAAGAUAGUAUAUACAACCAUAACAUAUAUAUCGUUGUACCUGUAAGCAUGUACAUCACCAUAACAUAACCUAUAAACAUGUAUUAAUUACAUGUAAACAUCAAUCUUCCCUAACUUCAAUAAUUUGAUUGUCAUGAUAUAUUGGUAUCUGCAAUUAGGAAAAUACUGCAACAAAAAAAAUAAUAUAAAAUUAGUCAAUUAAAUUUUUACUACAAAUUAAUUAUGACAAUAAAGAUAACUUACAUUAGUUGAAAUUGUUCCUCCUUCGUAGUCAUGCUUUCAUUAUAAUCAUAUACUCCUCCAUACAGUUUCACAAUAAUAAUUAUGUUUUAUUNNNN